UAUCGAUCUGCCGCUUCCUCGACCUGCCUCGGCGCCGCUUCCUCGACCUGCCUCGCCGCCGCUUCCUUGAUCUGCCUCGCCGCCGUUUGGAUCGUUGCGGCGACGGCUUCGUCGGUCUUCAGCUCCGACACCUACAUCCUCAAGGAGUACGAUCUCUUGGCUGGUUUCAUCGGUUUUGGGACCCAAAUCGCCGAGGGGACUUCCACAACUUGUAUUGCUUGAUUUCCCUGUCCGAGACUACAAUCUUGUCCUAGGUGAUGGACAUGCUGACCAUAUACCUGCACUAUGAAGAUGCAAAUUAGGAAGCCAGAAUUUUACAAAGAUCCAUGAUGAGGUUGGCGACCAUGAUGUCAACCAAUUACAAAUUCAACAAAAUUCAUCAUCGCCACAAGACCUUGUUAUUGAUUCUGUGCCAGAGGUGAGGGAAACGAGGGAUCUUACAGGUGAAUCUGUUUCAACACAGAACCAGCAGGGGAAUAGAACUGAACACCCAGACCCAGCUAGCUCAAAAAGAAGGUGUACUUCUUCCAUCAAGGUGUUGAAUUUGCCAUUGUGCGCAUAUAUCAACCUAUUCUUGAUAAUGAGGAGUUGGUAAGGGAUUGAGUUGCAAGACAAUUGGUGAGGCUUUCACUUUAGGAUACUUAAUUGCAUGGCCUUCAGCUUUUAUACGAGAGAAGGAUAAUUGAGUUGAAGCUGAAUUCUUGGAUCAAGAAGCAAAUAAAAUUUGAAGAUUUUAGCUACCAAUAGUCGUAGUUUACAUUGAUAGAUUGAAAAAUGUAAUAUCAUCCACAAUAUUUUUUCUUUUGUCAAAUUGAUGCAAAUGCUAUGGUGUAAUAUUCUCGAUAGUUAUGUUUUCUCUGCUCAAAAUGAUAUGACUGAUAUAUUUAUUGUAAUGCAUAUGUAUCAUACACUCUUGGUUAUUCGUAAUAAAUAUCUUCAUAUG